rnacentral:misc_RNA from 1 species
AAAGUGCUCAAGAAUCCCAUUUCCGAGCCAAGAAAAUCAAAAGCAUAGCAUGUAUUUAAAAGGGAAAAUCUUUACAAAUGGAAGAGUUUUCAAUGGAGGUUAAAAAAUAGAAGAAAAGGCAAGAAAAUCAAAUCUUUUUACUGGGAAACGUAUCGAAUAGACAACAAAGAGCAGAGAAGGAGAAGAAGACCACCCCAAGAAACCGCCAAAACAGAAACCACGUAAGUAGUCCUUAAUCAGACAGGCUCCAUUUAUUUGAAAACCAAAAUCAAAAGGAAACUAAUAGAAAUACUUUUCUAAAGCCACAAUCUAUGAAAAAUAAUAAACUUCAAUUUGUU